CUGGAUAAAUACUCCAUGACUAACGCAAUCCCUCUUUGGGAGAAGGGAGAGAUGAUUUAGAGUAUUUACUUUCAUUAAUUCUGUUUUGAGUCACUGUCAUGUUAAUUUAGCAGGAAGGAGAUUACUAAACACAUUUUACAGAGCAGAGACAUCCCCAGAAAGACUGUGCUCUGCAUCCAAGGCUGUGGGGCCGGCAUGACUGUACCCUUACAGCCUCCCAGGCUGGUGCACACACCUGUGAUUGAUCUGAGGUAAAAGUGCUGGAAGUUCAGAGCCCACCCAGCACAAGUUUGUGAGAUGCUAAUUUAAGAACAAUAGAAGCUGGGGAUGCAGCUCGAAUUCAGGACAGUCUGGGUCAGAUUCUCAUUAUAUCACUUAUAUGUUCAAUUGUGUUGGGUAAAUUGGAAUUUACUGCCUGAUGAUACGGACUGCAGGAGCAGUCCUGCUGCUCUAAUCACGCCAGCGUGGCCCCAGGCUGUGUCACAGGUCUGUCUGCGAGGCACUGGGCCAGGGCAGGGUGGAGUACCGUGGAUAUCACCUUAUGAGCUUUAUGAGGCUGCAAUUUGGUGCAAUUAGCUCCAGAUGCUUUGAGACACAAGCUCAUCCCUUCUGGGUGAGAUAAGGUUAAGGGGAAACUGAACUCUGUUCUAUACGCCCUUAUCCUCGGCAGGGCUUAUUUUAUAGGAUAAAUAAAAGGUGAGCAUAUGGAACAUACUGACGUCAGCCAGGGCCAGCUACAGCUGCCCCAGAAGAGAAUAAACGUCCUGUUUGCAUACUUUGGGUGUCACCUUUACCCAGUCCCCAUAUUGCAUUCCUUUAUUCUCUUUCUGCCAUUUACUUGUGUUUUCCUUCUUGAGGUCUCUAACUCGGUCCAUUUUGUCCUGUGGUAUUUUAGACUUCCUCUUGCAACCUCAAAAAGGCAGUGUGCUUUUCUCCUGUGACCACUUGCCUUUACAUUUCCGUAUGGCCACAUGACGGACUUUCUGAUCGUGAGAACAAAAGCAACAAUCUGGGCUCAGCAGCCUCAUCUAAGCAGCCUCCAUGCGCACUUCCCAUGCCCUUGUUUGCCCUUCACUGCUUUUGCUUCAUUCAGAUUUGUAAACUCAGUGCAUAGGCGCUUUGUCUUUGUUUACGUACAGAUGGUGCCUAGCACCGGUCUUGGAUUUGACAAACAUUAAAUAAUCAUAACUUCAGGAUGAUUAUUAGUAUUGGCAUUUAGAAGUCACAGCUGGCCAAGAACACCAAUUCUCUGCUGUUGCUCAGAUGACCUUGUCUGAUUUGGACACGCCCGCAGCAGACAGUUAUAUUCUAGCACGCUUGCAUUUACCCUUGGAUACCACCUGGAGACCAGAGCUGGCAAUGAUUGCAGCUGAUCUUCUUUGGAGCACUUGCAAGUUCUUUCCCUGCAUGCCGGCUUGCUGUGGAUGUAAUUUCAGGAUCCCAGAAGCUUGGAAGGCUGAGGCAAGAAGGUGGCAAGUCUAGCCCAGCCUGGGGUAACUUGGUGACUUAGCAAAACUCUGUGCUGAAAAACAAACCAAUCAACCAAACCAAAACAGCAACAAAA